UACUGGUGGAUUGAAUUAAUUCCAUUUAUUAUUGCAUUCUGUGCUCAGUGCACUGCUUUCCUGUUACAUUUUUCAAAUGGAUGAGAUGACAGAUAUUUUUGCCUCUCCAAAUUUUCCACAUAUUACAGCUCACUCCUUGCACCAUUCUAUACAAAUUCAACUUCAAGAAUUGAAAAAUCAAUACACAGGUUCAGCUUUCAUUGCUCACAGUGAAAAAAAAAAAGAAAUAUUAUCCUGGGCUUGAUGUGUUUGGGUGUUGUGUCAUAUUUCCUAGCCACAGGAGGAAUUAAUUACAGGAAUUCUGGGCACUCUAAUGGCAUCUGCUGCCCGGUGUUCCCUCUCUAAAGUGCAUCCUGCUAUUAGCAGUGGGCUUGCAGGGGAUGCAGCUGAGCAUCGUUUAGUGGAGUCGUGGUGCAAACCAAGGCAGGACCCAGUUCCUUGGAGCUGUAAAACCAAUUGCUGAGCUGAGCCAGUGCCCCUCCAUCCUCAGAGCCUGCUCUGUAUUCCUGCCAUGCGCCGCUAUAUGCAUCAUUAUAGGAGCUGCCUGUAUUUAUGUGAGAGAAAAUAUGGGGCUCCACCUCCCAUGAAGCUGCCACCUCCUUACAGAGCCCUCGAAAGGCAUCACACAGAGGAGGCUGCUCUGGGUGAAGAGGAGGAUGAGGAUGCUUGUGCAGAGGGUGAGUAGUGCUCCAAUCAUUGCAUCAGAUCACAAUUCUGGGACACAAUCAGCUGCUGAUAAGCCGUCAUGCCUUUUAUUGCUUGUGGGAAGUGCUGCUCAGUGUGGCCACAGCAAUCCUCAGCCUGGUUUGUAACUUAGAUGCUUCUUCUGCCCAGCCAGGUCCCAGAGCUCGGCUCUUCUGGGGAGAUGCAGGAAGGGCUGAGUUUAUUUUCAUCCCCAGCACAUCCAGGCUGUGUCUGGAGGAGUUGCUUGGGCAGAGAUGUCAGCAGUGAGUGGAGAUGUGUUUUACUGCUCUGAUUUCAGUGGUAGUCGAGCAGUUGUAGCUUGAGGACCACUGGUGCAAAAAACCAGAAAUCCUGGAGCUGAUCCCAGGC
rnacentral:lncRNA from 1 species